rnacentral:rRNA from 1 species
AUGGCACCUCUAAGCUUACAUCUAAUAAAAAAAACAAUCUUGUUACAUAGAACUUUUAGUAUCGGCUAGAGAAAAAAAACUUGACUUAUAGAGAGAAGUACCGUAAGGGAAAUAUGGAUUUUAAAAAUAAAGAAGAUGUAAAAUUUCGUACCUUGUGUAUCAGGGUUAAGCAAACUACUCAGGUAGCUAUCAUUCCCGAAAUGGGGUGAGCUUCUCUCUACUAUUAUUACUCGUAGUAAAGAGCUUGUCAAGCUGAGAGAAGUAGUGAAACGCUAAACGGACCCCAAAUUAUCUGGUUCCCCGGGAAAAGAAUUUAAUUCUCUUCCACGUUAUUGCCUGAACUUUUAGAGUGCUAUGGUAAAAACGAGGAGCUAAAGCUUAGAGGGAUGAGCUUCUAAGCUUACACGUGGUAUGGAACAAUUAAUAUACUUAUCUCAGGGUUUAUAAGGUUUAAUAGUGACCAAAUACAAGAAGUAUGUUAUAACUUACCCCUUAUCAAGAAGUAUUUAAAUCUAAAUAUUUUCCUUUUUUACCGGGGUUAACCAGCUCAAUGAAGCGCUGAUGUAACAAUGCUUAAAUUAGUAGAAAGUCUUGUAUCUGCAUAUACUUUUAGGUUUCUGAGAGUUUUACAAUAAUUUAGGUCUAUUGAAGGAACUCGGCAAACGGCUUUUCGCAUGUUUAUCAAAAACAUCACCUUUAGAAAUAUUAAAGGCACCGCCUGCUCAAUGCUUUAAAGUAAAUAGCCGCAGUAUUUUGACUGUGCUAAGGUAGCAUAAUCAUUAGUCUCUUAAUUGGAGGCUGGUAUGAAUGGCGAGACGAGAAAGCUGCUGUCUCCAAUAGAAAUCUCGAAUUUUAUUUCUGGGUGAAAAAGCCCAGAUGGCUUUGAAGGACGAUCAGACCCUAUGGAGCUUUACUCUUAUGUGUUAAUAAAGCUAUUGAAAGUGUAUUAAUUUAGAGAGUUUCGUUGGGGCGACGAAGAGAAUUAAAUAACACUCUUUUCCAAGAACAAUAAUCAGUGGAUUAAUGAUCCUCACCGAGAGAUCAGAAGACCAAGUUACCCUAGGGAUAACAGCGUAAUCCCCUAAGAGAGUUCAAAUCGAUAAGGGGGUUUGCGACCUCGAUGUUGGAUUAAGAAAUUAGCGGGGUGCAGAAGCUCCGUUAAAAAGUCUGUUCGACUUUUGAUUUCUUACAUGAUCUGAGUUCAGACCGGCGUAAGCCAGGUUGGUUUCUAUCCUCAAAGUAGAAGUCUCACUCUUAGUACGAAAGGACCGGGGUGGGGGGAAAAUUUCUGAUUGCAGAAUAAAAAUAACGUAGUCUUUAAGUAUG